GUACACUCCUGCGGGAGGCAGCAGUGGGGAAUUUUGGACAAUGGGCGAAAGCCUGAUCCAGCAAUGCCGCGUGUGUGAAGAAGGCCUUCGGGUUGUAAAGCACUUUUGUCCGGAAAGAAAUCCUUGGCUCUAAUACAGUCGGGGGAUGACGGUACCGGAAGAAUAAGCACCGGCUAACUACGUGCCAGCAGCCGCGGUAAUACGUAGGGUGCGAGCGUUAAUCGGAAUUACUGGGCGUAAAGCGUGCGCAGGCGGUUUGCUAAGACCGAUGUGAAAUCCCCGGGCUCAACCUGGGAACUGCAUUGGUGACUGGCAGGCUAGAGUAUGGCAGAGGGGGGUAGAAUUCCACGUGUAGCAGUGAAAUGCGUAGAGAUGUGGAGGAAUACCGAUGGCGAAGGCAGCCCCCUGGGCCAAUACUGACGCUCAUGCACGAAAGCGUGGGGAGCAAACAGGAUUAGAUACCCGUGUAGUCCCAUGAU
rnacentral:rRNA from 1 species